rnacentral:rRNA from 1 species
CCUACGGGUGGCUGCAGUGGGGAAUUUUGGACAAUGGGGGCAACCCUGAUCCAGCCAUUCCGCGUGAGUGAAGAAGGCCUUCGGGUUGUAAAGCUCUUUCGCAAGGGAAGAAAACUUACUCAAUAACACUGGGUGAGGCUGACGGUACCUUGAUAAGAAGCACCGGCUAACUACGUGCCAGCAGCCGCGGUAAUACGUAGCGUGCGAGCGUGGCUCGGAAUUACUGGGCGUAAUUCUGGCGGAGGCGGGUGAAAUCCACGGGCUCAACCUGGGAACUGCGUUUGAAACGACAAGGCUAGAGUAUGGCAGAGGGGGGUAGAAUUCCACGUGUAGCAGUGAAAUGCGUAGAGAUGUGGAGGAAUACCAAUGGCGAAGGCAGCCCCCUGGGUCAAUACUGACGCUCAUGCACGAAAGCGUGGGGAGCAAACAGGAUUAGAUACCCCAGUAGUC